rnacentral:tRNA from 1 species
CCGCCGAUGGGGGGGAUUGACCUUUCGCCGCUGCUGGCGUUGAUAGUCUUGCAAUUCGCGAAAAUGGUGGUGCAACCGCCUCUUCAGCAAU